UGGGGAAUCUUCCGCAAUGGACGAAAGUCUGACGGAGCAACGCCGCGUGUAUGAUGAAGGUCUUCGGAUUGUAAAGUACUGUCAUUGGGGAAGAACGGCUUUCUUGAAAAGAUUGAGAAGACAUGACGGUACCCAAGGAGGAAGCCCCGGCUAACUACGUGCCAGCAGCCGCGGUAAUACGUAGGGGGCAAGCGUUGUCCGGAAUUAUUGGGCGUAAAGGGCGCGUAGGCGGGCUUUUAAGUCCGGUGUGAAAGAUCAGGGCUCAACCCUGAGAGUGCAUCGGAAACUGGAGGCCUUGAGGACAGGAGAGGAAAGUGGAAUUCCACGUGUAGCGGUGAAAUGCGUAGAUAUGUGGAGGAACACCAGUGGCGAAGGCGACUUUCUGGACUGUAACUGACGCUGAGGCGCGAAAGCGUGGGGAGCAAACAGGAUUAGAUACCCUGGUAGUCCACGCCGUAAACGAUGAGUGCUAGGUGUAGAGGGCUAUCGACCCCUUCUGUGCCGCAGUUAACACAAUAAGCACU
rnacentral:rRNA from 1 species